rnacentral:rRNA from 1 species
GACGAACGCUGGCGGCGUGCUUAACACAUGCAAGUCGAGCGGUAAGGCCCUUUCGGGGGUACACGAGCGGCGAACGGGUGAGUAACACGUGGGUGACCUGCCCUUAGCUCUGGGAUAAGCCUGGGAAACUGGGUCUAAUACCGGAUAUGACUCCAUAACGCAUGUUGUGGGGUGGAAAGCCUUGUGCGGCUAGGGAUGGGCCCGCGGCCUAUCAGCUUGUUGGUGGGGUGAUGGCCACCAAGGCGACGACGGGUAGCCGGCCUGAGAGGGCGACCGGCCACACUGGGACUGAGACACGGCCCAGACUCCUACGGGAGGCAGCAGUGGGGAAUCUUGCGCAAUGGGCGAAAGCCUGACGCAGCGACGCCGCGUGGGGAUGACGCCU